GAAAUUUUAUUCAGCCAUCCUAAGCUUGACUUUGGAGUAAUUACUUUUCUUUUUAAUUUCCCUUGAAUCUCUGGUUUGAUUCCCAAGGAAGUUUUAUAAGAAUCUUUUCAGAACUUAACCUCACUGAAGUGCUCUUGGUCCUGCCCAUCAAUUAUCAUAGUCAUGGAAUGACCUCUUUUUCUACGUUAUUUUCAGGAAAGACCUCGCUCACGGCUCGCCAGCUCCAAUAUUGUCCUAGAAUCCAAAUUAGUGAGCUUGAGGCACAGUUGAUGCAAACAAAGAUUGACCUUCAAAAGGCUCAAGAAGAAGUAUCCAGUUGCAAAAUAAGGCCCUUCGACUCUGAACCAAGAAGCUUACCUCUCAUUCUUGAUGACAGCAAUGGUGCAGAGGCAAAUUUGAAAGAUCAGAUCAACCUAUUACAAAGGGAAAAGGAUGAACUACACGAAGCUUUAAUAAAACUUCAGCUAGUGGUCAAUCAUCUUGAAAAAACAAGUAUGGUCCAAAAAGUCAAAAGCUUAGAUGUUGUUGAUCAGGCUCAGUUUGAAAAGAAUCAGGCGGAACUUGAGGUUCGUAGGCUGAUGCAGAGUUAGAAAGAGCACAUGAAAAACAAAGAGAAGCAAUGCAGGUGAGUACUCGAACAAUCUAUACCUCAUUAAUUGGUUUCGUAAAUCACCAACAGUUUUAAACCAUCUUAGAUGUUACACUCAUUCUUUAUUUUUUGGAUU
rnacentral:lncRNA from 1 species